CCUACGGGAGGCAGCAGUGGGGGAUAUUGCACAAUGGGGGAAACCCUGAUGCAGCGACGCCGCGUGAGUGAAGAAGUAAUUCGUUAUGUAAAGCUCUAUCAGCAGGGAAGAAAAUGACGGUACCUGAGUAAGAAGCCCCGGCUAACUACGUGCCAGCAGCCGCGGUAAUACGUAGGGGGCAAGCGUUAUCCGGAUUUACUGGGUGGAAAGGGAGCGUAGACGGCAGUGCAAGUCUGGAGUGAAAGGCGGGGGCUCAACCCCCGGACUGCUCUGGAAACUGUACGGCUGGAGUGCAGGAGAGGUAAGUGGAAUUCCUAGUGUAGCGGUGAAAUGCGUAGAUAUUAGGAGGAACACCAGUGGCGAAGGCGGCUUACUGGACUGUAACUGACGUUGAGGCUCGAAAGCGUGGGGAGCAAACAGGAUUAGAUACCCCUGUAGUC
rnacentral:rRNA from 1 species